UGUUAACAUCAGGUUACGUACUUAAAGGGGAAAUCCAGUGCUUUGCAUGAAUAGUGUAUCAAUGGGUCAUGUAAUAUGUACCCUAUUUUGACAAUGUGAUGUUAAAUCCUGUCUCAUUUAAUAGUGUUUGGAGAAGAUUUUUUUUUAAUCGACAAUGACGAAUUUUUAGGGGCGCUGCCAUUUUCAGGAGUCACAUGAUCUACAUGGGUGUAUGUAACGUGUCCCGUACUGCAACAAAGGCUCGAUUAAGUGGGACACCAUUAUGCCCAGCGCUGAUUUCUCGGAUUUAUCCUCAUCUGAUGAAGAAAUAGCAGUAUCGGUUGAUCGGGAAGACGGAGGACUACUUCCAUACAGAUUUGAACCUGUGGCUGUAAUUAAUGUUGAAUAUUCGGAUGGUUCUUUGGGCGGAAUGACACGGAGUCUGACUACUCGGAGGCCUACGCGCGACAUAAGUGCAUGUAAACGAAGGCCCCCGGGAGCUUCGGGCUGGCAGCCCCGGAUUGGUUCUUCGGACGGGAAUGACAUGGAGUCUGACGAGGGAGCUCGGCGGCGGGCCACGAGCCGAGCUUUCAGGUGGCAGAGGCCGAAAUCAGCACUGCCCAUAAUUGUGUCCCAUGUAAUCGAGCCUUUGUUGCGGCACGGUACACGUCACAUACGCCCACGUAUAUCAUGUGACUCGUGAAAAUGGCAGCGCCCCUGAAAAUUCGUCAUUGUCGAUAAAAAUUUUCUCAAAAUACUACUCACAUUGUCAAAAUAGGGUACAUAUUACAUGACCUAUUGAUACACUGUUCAUGCAAAGCACUGGAUUUCCCCUUUAACACAUUAAAAACAAGAUACAUUUUUAUUUUUAUUGCUCUUUCAUAUAACUGCAGUUAUAACGGAUCGACAAAUAAAAUGCUUAGUAUCGUCCACAACAACAACAAAAACCUUCAUUAACGCUAACACAAAGAUCAAUUACUAAUGAACAACUGAUCAUAUAAAUAUAAAGUAAAAAUAUAAAGAGCCUAAUAUGCUACCUUGGAUACUUAAACUCAGUGUAUGUUAAGAUUUGCUAAUAUUUUAGUUGUUUUUAUGCUGAAUUUGAAUCUAAAAUCUAUUAUGACGGAAACAUUUUUAUUUUUCGAUUAUCGGAAAAAAAUGAUCACACAUUGCUCGAUCCGCCGGAAAAAUACAGAAACGGGGCGGAAACAGCAGAGUAGGAACGUGACAUCACACAUAGCGUUCCACUUCAUGGCGCCACUCGACAACAAUAUGAGAACGACGACUAAUUUUCCGGUAAUUCGAGCGAUGAACAUGAUUCUGAAGGGUCUCACGAAGACGGUGAAGAAUACCAGCUUUACAAAGAAGUUAAAGGUUAUACAUUUGAGCCAGUUACACAGCACAUACUUUCAAAAUAGCUGGCGAUGGAGUUGCCGACCGAGCAGUGAGACCCAGCUAGGAGGACAUGCUUGUUUUGGAAAAAAGGGGCUGGCGAACUUGUGUAUCGGCUCGCAUCCCUCGUAAUCGUUGCGAGGCUUUGAAGAGCGGGCCGACGAGUAAUUCCGGAAAAAGAUUCAGUGAAUUGAGAUGCCUGAAAAACACACAAAUGUAAAUAGUACCAGGGAGACCGUGCCGAAGGCUGCCACACUGGUAGGGUUCCACGCUGAGGCUAAUUGAAUCACGAGCCAUAUCCACCGAGGGAAAGACAGACAUCCGUUUAUGCACCCGACGAGAAGUGGAUUAUGAGCCCCAGACCAUCAACGCAGAGACCAAUCAUCAGGUAACUUCUUUCCCUUUCGGCAUGUCCCGAUUAGGGGUCGCCACAGGGUGUCAUCUUUUUCCAUCUCAGCCUAUCUCGUGCAUCCUCCUCUCAAACACCCACUGUCCUCCCUCACAACAUCCAUCAGCCUUCUCCCUCUUUUGCUUGGCAGCUCCAACCUCAGCACCCUUCUCCCAACAUACUCACUCUCUCGACUCUGAACAUGUCCAAACCAUCAAAGUGUGCUCCCUCUCACCUUGUUUAAGAAACAUCCAACUUUGGCUUUCCCUCUAAUGAGCUCAUUUCUAAUCCUACCCAACCUGUUCAAACCAAGCAAGAACCUCAGCAUCUUCAUUUCUGAUACCUCCAGUUCUGCUUCCUGUUGUUUUUUUCAGAGCCACCAUCUCUAAUCCAGCCGGCCUCAUCACUGUUUUAUAAACGUUGCCCUUCAUCCUAGCUGAGACUCUUCUGUCACAUAGGACACCAGAGACCUACCGCCAGCUGUUCCUCCCUACUUGGACCCGUUUCAUGACUUCCUUACCACACUCUCCAAUGCUCUGUAUAGGUGACACCAAGUAUUUGAAGCCGUCCACCAUCGUGAUCACUUCUCCCUGGAGCUUCACUCUUCCACCUCCGCCCCUCUCAUUCACACACAUAUAUUCCGUUUUACUUUGGCUAACCUUCAUUCCUCUCCUUUCCACUGCGUACCUCCAUCUCUCUAAUUGUUCCGCCGCCUGUUCCCUGCUUUCACUGCAGAUCACAAUAUCAUAGUCCAAGGGGAUUCCAGUCUAACAUCAUCUGUCAGCCUAUCCAUUACUACCGCAAACAGGAAGGGGCUCAGCGCAGAACCCUGAAGCAGUCCCACCUCCACCUUAAAUUCUUCUGACACACCAACAGCACAUCUCACCGCUGUUCUGCUGCCCCCAUACAUGUCCUGUAUUAUUCUAACAUAUUUGUCCGCCACACCAGAAUUGCGCAUGCAGUACCACAGUUUCUCUCUUGGUACUCUGUUAUAGGGUUUCUCUAAGUCUACAAAGAUACAAUUUAGCUCCUUCUGACCUUCUCUGUACUUUUCCACGAGCAACCUCGAGGCAAAUGGUGCAUCUGUGGUACUCUUUCUAGGCAUGAAACCAUUUUGUUGCCCGCACAUACUUCUGUCCUGAGUCUAGCCUCCACUACUCUUUCCCAUAACUUCAAUGUGUGGCUCAUCAACCUCCUUCAGAUUACACUGUAUGUACAAAUCCACCUGUGUGCUUAUACCUCCACUCUUGGAGGUCACACUACGUUCCUGUCUCUUCCGGUAGUAAGUGUUCACCACUGCCAAUUCCAUCCUUUUUGCGAAGUCCACCACCAUCUGUCCCUCAAAGUUCCUUUGCUGAAUGCCGUACUUACCAAUCACUUCUUCAUCGCCCUUGUUUCUUUCACCAGCAUGUAAAUUUAAAUUUGCA